rnacentral:tRNA from 1 species
GCGGUGAUGGCUGAGUGGUUGAAAGCGGCAGAUUGCUAAUCUGUUAAACGAAUCUCGUUUCGGAAGUUCGAAUCUUCCUCUCCGCGACA